AUGGACUACCAGCCGAUCAUCUCCGCCCUCGACGUGCGCACAGAACCUGUAACCAUCGACGCGCUCUUCUCCAUGGUGGCGAACUUCGAUCAGCGGAUCGAGAUGUUCCAUGGCGGUGGUGCUGGUGGCUUCAAGUCAUCGGCCAACGCUGCGUCUCGGGGUCGUCCGAACACCGGCAAGGGCGGCUACCGCAACCAGAAG
rnacentral:rRNA from 1 species